rnacentral:rRNA from 1 species
UACGUAGGGACCAAGCGUUGUUCGGAUUUACUGGGCGUAAAGGGCGCGUAGGCGGCUUAACAAGUCACUUGCGAAAUCUCCGGGCUUAACUCGGAACGGCCAAGUGAAACUGUCAAGCUAGAGUGCAGAAGGGGCAAUCGGAAUUCUUGGUGUAGCGGUGAAAUGCGUAGAUAUCAAGAGGAACACCUGAGGUGAAGACGGGUUGCUGGGCUGACACUGACGCUGAGGCGCGAAAGCGUGGGGAGCAAACAGG